GGCUGUGUGGCACAGUGGGUAAGGUAGUGGGCUUAUAACCGAAAGGUCCAUAGGUUCGAUUCCAAGGUAGGACA
rnacentral:tRNA from 1 species